ACUCUGGAACCGCCUCAAGGACCGAGGACGUCCUCAAAGACCUUCUGGGGUCCGUCGGAGGAGGAACUGGACACCACCCAAAGACCUCCGACGCUCCCAAAAUGACUACUGGCAGUUACUCGAUGUGGCCUACCAGUGGAACCUCCUGGAGGACUGUAGAAGACCUUUAGAACUCUGACAAGAACAAAUUGUCUAGUUAAAGAGCAAUACAACCAUCCAAGGACCCCUUAGAAUUUCCUAUUGGACCUCAAGAACCCGAUAGAAUUCAAUUCUUGGACCAUUCAGGUGUCCUAAGAACUUCCAGGAGACCUUCGUUGACUUUGUGAGCCUCCCCCCCCCCUGUUAAAAAACAUGCUGAAUGCGUCGCCGAUGUGGUGACAAAGGGUCUUUUACCUGAGGCCUGAACCUCGGUGAUGUACUGCUGAAGGUCGUGACCCUGCUGGAUGACCUCAUAGAUCAUGUUGUUCAUGGCCAGCCUUCGCUCCAUGUGCCUGCAGAUCAAUAAUCUCCAUCAGUGCCUCGCAGUGGACCCUUUUUUAACGUUCUGUUACUUUACUUGGUUACCUGUGGAUGCGCUGCUGCGCUAGCGUUAGCAUGUCGGCGCUAGCUUCCGCUAGCCGCGCCUGGCCCAGCACUAGCUUGUCCUGGUUAGCGUCAGCGAGCCGCGAUGACGCUAGCCUCUCUGCGGAGAAGUCCUGGGACUGUUUGUGAAGGUCCUGCUUCCAGGCGUCCAUUUCCCCCGUUACCUAGGAAACGGUGACACACGUCAGGUGGGGGGCACCCUGACGUAUUGAUGGUCAAUAAACCUCGUACCUCCAGGGUGCACUGCUGCAGGAUGCGGAGCUGCAGGUAAACGUCCAGUCGGAUCUUCCUCUGGUGGAAGAGUUCUUCCAGCUGAACGUGGGACUCCUCCAGCUGCUGAAGCACUGUCUCCACAUGGACCAACGAGCUGCCCUGAGGCCUGAAACAAACGCACCUCAAAGGGUUAUAGAUAUCCGGCCACUUGGACAGAGGCCAUUUGAUGAAGAAAACAAUCACCCCUCAAAUCAAAAUGCUGAAAGCGAAAUGCUAGAAAUUAAUUUGAAAGAUUUUUUUAGUAGUAAUAUUAGUAGUUAGUAGUAGUAGUAGUUAGUAUUAGUGAUAAUUGUAAUUGUAGUAGGGUUAGUAGAGGGCUCGAGGGGGUGUUGGUCUUCUGUGACGGGGGUUUAGAACAUGGUUGGGGGAUAUGGGGAGCUGCUCAAAGCGAUUUUAGUUAAGUUAGGGAGCAUUCCAACAAUGAGUGGGUGCGUGUGUUUUACCACUAAGCAAUGUAAUCAUUGUUGGAAUGCUCCCUAACUUAACUUGUUUGAGGUGUGGAUUCUGUGUAAAUUUACAAACAAAUAAAACAAGCACACCCACAAAGGAUAUGAAAUUACCAACAAAAGUGAAAAUCAAACCCACCCAAACUACAAGAAAAAGCCGACUCACAAUACGCAAACACCAAAACAAACACACCCUUCAGAUAACUACAAAACAAAAGCUCCAAAAUUGCAAAAUAGAAACGCCCCCCGGACUACAAAACAAACAUACCCAUUUUCUCCACAGUAAAUCAUAAAUCAAACAUACGCAAACUAAAAUAAAAGCACCCAACAGAAAAAUACUACAUAAAUGCUUGCAAAAUACAAAAUAAAACCAUGAACCCACGACUACAAAACCAACAGUGUCCACAGAUUCACCAGCGCCAAACUGACGCAAGCGAAUUAAACGCACCCACACUCUGCGCGUACCUGAGUUGCAGGAUGAGGUCUUCUCCUUCCCUGAUGACACUCAUUGCAGCUUCCUGCGGGUCAGGGUUAGAGUCGGGGUUAGUGUGAGGGUUAGCGCCGUGGGGUCAGAGGCAACAGGGGUGUUAGGGUGUUACGACAGGGUCGAAGGUCAGCGGGCUCACCUGCGUAUUCGCCUGCUGCUGCUGCUGCUGGCUGAUCAAAGCCUGAAGAGCUUCAACGGUGUCGGGACAAACACAGAGGUCAGAGGAGAGCUGCUUCUGGAGGCCCUCCAUCCACACUGAGAGCUGGGGGGGGCAUACCAAGGCUCAAUGAACACAGUCUGUGAAUCCAUGCACUUAUUUUGACAAAUGCCUUUCAGAUGUCAGAGCAGGAGGAGGAAGAGGAGUCAGGAUAGAUGAGGAGGUGGAGGAGGAAACAAAAGCGAGGUAGGAGGUGCCGAGGAGUUGAGGUGGAGGCGGGACAUAGAAGGUGUACUACCUCCUUGGUGUGUGUGUAGAAAGACACAGCGAGGUCCAGCAGCAGCUUCCUCUGUUCAACUCUCUGAAUGAACGCCUGCACACACACACACACACACAAUGAGAACACUUCCUGUAGCUGUCCUUCAGAAUAAAAGCCCCCCUGGUAUUUGUUCACCUGCAUGCGGAGCUCCAGGUCUCUGGCCGCCUGGUAGAUCUCUUCCUCCUUACACUCUCCAGACUGAGCCAGCUGAUCGGCUGCUUCCAGAAGCUUCUCUGCAUUAGUGUAGGUGUUCUGUGACACACACACAUCAGUUCGUGCAGGUCUGGGUAGCGUUCAGGUAGUCCGGUCUAGGUGGGGUUCAGGUAGUCCAGGUCUAGGUGGGGUUCAGGUAGUCCGGGGCUAGUUAGUCCACGUCUAGUUGGGGUUUACCUGUGCAACCUGCUGGAAGUCGUCAUGGCGUUUCUGCAGCGCUCGUGCCCGGUGAAGAGACUUCCCCACGCCACUGUGUUUGUUCAGGAAAACCUCCCCGUGCUGCUCCACCCAGUCCAACACCUGAGACCGGUGGAGAAAGAGAGAGACAGGUGGGGCAACUGGCCUCUGAAUACAAGGUGUAGAGUCUGGAUAUGGAUCCGUCGUACCUGUCUGACAUCUUGCUGAAAAACACACAGUUGCAGGCGCUGAUGGAGGCGGAGUUUACGGUGCUGCCACACCCCCUCCACCUCUUGGUGACCCUGCAGAUGACAAAAAGCUCACGUGAGUCCACCUGCCUGUCUGCUGGUCACAUGUGAGACACAUCACCACGAGCCGUACCUGCAUGACCUGGUGCAGAGCUCCCAUGAUGCCGUGCGUGGCGUUGGCGAGAUCCGGCCUGGUUGUGGGGUUGUCGGAGUCGGUUGCUGGGCAACGCUGGAGUACGUCCAUUAAGGCCUUACCGCUCUCACUAACCUGCACGCAAAGAAAGAGACAGGUGUUCAGACAGACAUCAGACAUACAGGUAUGCAGACAGACAGGUGUUGAUAGAGACAGGUACCUGUGUGUAGUUAGCAGAGAUCUCCUCGUUCAGCUCCUGAUGUUUCUUCGUCGCGGCCUCCAGCUCUGUUGCCGCCGAGGGCAACGCCCCCUCAGAGCACACCUGGACCCAGCCCUCCAAUCUGAGCAGGAACUGGACAGAGAGGCAGACGGGUGAGUGGGGAUACCCAGGCGGGUCGUGGCAUGACAGACAGGUAUAAAGGUUAGAGGUGAGACAGGUAGACACGGGCAUGAGACAGGUGCCUCGCUGUUGCGUAAUAACCUGCUCGGCCCCCUGGUGGAAGCUAGUUGCCAUGGCGAGCGUGUUGCUGCGCUCUUCCAGCGCCGCCGUCAGCGCCCUCCAGUCGCCCUGCAGGCGCAGCGACACUCCGGCGAUGCGCUCCGCCCCGUGGUGGCCCGCCUCCGCCAGUCUGGUUGCCACGGUGACCACGCUGUCCACGUUCAUGCUGCCGUUCUGGGGGGUCACACGAGUGCUGUUAGGCAGGCGUCACGGCAACGGCGACAAACAAGCAAAUAAACAAGCAACUCACCAUGCAGUUGGCCGUGAAGUGCUGGUGCUGCGUCUGGAGGUCCAGGGCAUGCUGGUGGUUCUGACCCACCGCAGAUAGGGUCUGCAGGAACAGGUCCUGACUGUGAGCGAUCCAGUCCGACAUCUGGGGGAGGGGAGGGAGAACUUUAUCACAAGUACCAGUACUUUAUCACAAGUACUUUUCACAGGUACCAGUAAGUAAGAUAGACGGGUAUGUGGACGGACAGACAGGCAGAUAUACAGAUGGACACACAGACUGCCGGGUUUGUGGGCAGACAGUUUGUGUCCCUAGAGCAGCAGGUUCCUAAAUGACUCCAGGUGACCCCUGACCCUGAAUCCCACCUUGGUGGCGUCCUGCUCAAACAGGUGCAGCUGCAGCACCUGGUCCAGGUGCAGCUUCCUGUCGCUCCAGCUCUGCAGCAGGUGUCCGCGGGCCCCCUGCAGCCUGUCCAGCAGGGACGACACCUUUGGCGCCACGCUGUGGAAGUCGGCUCCACCCGACAGCCAGCUGCCGUUACUAGCGCCGGCGCCUCCUUCGGUGGAGGCGUCGCCGUGGGAGGGGCCUAGGCGCAUGCGCUGAAGCAAGCUCCUCCCCUCUCUCUCGAGGGAGUCAACCGGUGCCGUUGCGAUGGUGUUACGUAGCCGGCUGUGUUCCUCCAGAAGUCUGGAGACGGAAAGUUAUUAUAUUAUUAUUAUUAAUAAUGAAUAAAUACUCUCUUAAGUUACCACACUAACUCACUUGCGGGCCUCGUCCACGUCCUGUGGCUCCGGUAUGCGGUUCAGCCCGGCCUCCAGCUGCUCCAGCUGACUCAGCAGCUGUGUGGCGGCGCCGGUGAACUCCUCCAGGCCCAGACGGAGCUCGGUCCACUCCACGUGGUCGUACUCCAACGAGCCGCCGAGGUCAGAGGUCAGUUGGGAGGGGUCAACGAGCCGGGACAGACCCUCCACCGACACCAGGCUGGUCUGGACAUGGGUUUGUUAGCAUUAGCAGUACUUCAGUUAGCAUCAGUAGUAAUUUAGUUAGCAUUACUUCAGUUAACAUCAAUAGUAAUUUAGUUAGCAUUAGCAGUACUUCAGUUAGCAUCAGUAGUAAUUUAGUUAGCAUUACUUCAGUUAACAUCAAUAGUAAUUUAGUUAGCAUUAGCAGUACUUCAGUUAGCAUCAGUAGUAAUUUAGUUAGCAUUACUUCAGUUAGCAUCAGUAGUAAUUUAGUUAGCAUUACUUCAGUUAGCAUCAGUAGUAAUUUAGUUAGCAUUACUUCAGUUAGCAUCAGUAGUAAUUUAGUUAGCAGUACUUCAGUUAGCAUCCAUACUGCUGCUAAUUUCGUUAGCAGCAGUAUGGAUUCCAGCAACUAGUCUAGUGAACAAUGUGCUAGCGGCAGUACUACAGCGGUUAUUACCACGGUACUACUCAUAGGGAGUAGUACCUCGAAGCUGAGCUUGGCGCUGCCCAGGUUGGUCUUGUGUUUCUGCCAGAAUGUGUCGGGUUUGAUGAGAAGCGCCGUGUGGAUGUUGGAGGAAAAGGACUCCUGCAGCGUGCGUAGAACCGGCUUCACGCUGUCCCACUUGCUGCCGCGCAUGUCCACCACCACCGUGAAGCCACGAGCGCACACGUCCUCACUGAUGGACAAACAGGCAGAUGGGCGCGGGGGGGUUGAGCGAGACAGGCCGAGCGAGAUACAGGUGCAGAGGUCAUGAGGUGGACAGAGAUGGAGGGCGUUACCAGGGUAUGGUUGCCAGGUAGGUGACCAACUGGCUUAGGUCUUCCUGUUUUAUUCGAUCAUGAUUGGUCCUGGCAGGGAAGGUCAGUAUUGGUCCGCCACGUUUGUCCCGCCCACCUGAGAGAACACAGUCAGUCAAACUGGGCCGCAUCGGGACUGAACUGGGUUAAAUGCGCAGGUGUGUUUGUUUUACCCGACACGAAGGCCACUUUCUCUCUGAGCACCGUCAGCACGUCGACCGCUCGGACGCACUCCGCUUUACCACAACCUCGGGGGUAGAAACACACAUCUGUCAGCUUCAUGGACACGCCCACACCGAUCGCUUCUGACAGACGAGGCAGCGAUGUUGUUCCGUAUUAUUAUUGCGGGCGAACUGCCCGAGCGGGUGGGGGGGGGGGGG
ensembl:lncRNA